rnacentral:piRNA from 1 species
UGUGUGACACUGUGGCCACAAGGA